UACAGAGGGGGCGAGCGUUGUUCGGAAUUACUGGGCGUAAAGGGCGCGUAGGCGGCCAACUAAGUCAGACGUGAAAUCCCUCGGCUCAACCGGGGAACUGCGUCUGAUACUGGAUGGCUUGAAUUCGGGAGAGGGAUGCGGAAUUCCUGGUGUAGCGGUGAAAUGCGUAGAUAUCAGGAGGAACACCGAUGGCGAAGGCAGCUUUCUGGCCUAAGACUGACGCUGAGGUGCGAAAGCGUGGGGAGCGAACGGG
rnacentral:rRNA from 1 species